ACAGAUGGGAUGGUCCGUCUUCCAAGAACCUGUUUAGCUGGUUAGCAAGCCUUGGGCUAAACAGGUUCUACUGCAGGUACAUAUUUUUACUAUGUGUCCUCUCUGCAUCCAUUGCAGCCUGGUCAUCCUGGAAGAGGGACCCUCCCAUCUGUGGGCUCUUCUCAAGAGGACUGCUCAGUGGAAGGCAUCCUCCCUUGCUACAGGGAAAUGUGCAACAGCCAGCAAAGAUGCCACAUUGAGCUUUUGAAGGACCAGUCCUGCCCUGCCACCUACAAAUAUCUGCAGAUGGUCUAUAGCUGUGAACAGAAAGUAUGUCUCGAUAGUCUGGGCAUCGCCGACGGCAGCGUUGCAGACUCUCCCUUCAAAGCCUCCUCAAUGAGAGACGCCACCCAGCCGUCGGCAGCUGGAUCCUGGUGAACCUCGGCUACAAGAGAAAGGUGACGUCGAUCGUGACCCAGGGGUGUGAUAGCAACAAUACUCGCUCCUGGGACAUCAAACUUGAGAUGAGACUAAGCGUUGACAAGAGGAAGUGGACCAAAUACCCGGACGGGAAGUUCAUCGGCGGUGGGACUCAUCUGCUUGAGACGCCCGCAAUCGCUCAGUACGUCUGCAUCCUGCCGCUAGAAAAUUGUCCAGAAUUUGGUCUCCGCUUCGACAUCUUGGGAUGCGCACAAGAGGAUGAGACGACCUGUGCCAGAAAGUUCAACAGCCUCCGUUUCACCAAUUCGAUGACAUGAGUCACGCUUGACACAAUGUUUCAUGACCGCCUGUCGUCAAUGUCACGUGUGUGUCUUCUGCAGGUUCUACUGUCCGCCCGGGUGUGACAAAGAGGAACACUUUGUCUUCGGAACGAUGGUCUACUCUGCAGUACGGGAUUGCCUGACCCCACCGGUGGACUUCUUGUCUGUGACUGCAAGUAUGUGUAAAUGCAGGACUCGCACAUCUGUGCGGCUGCUAUUCACGCUGGAGUCAUUCAGAACAACAUCGGAGGAGAUUGCAUUGUGAUGAGCGCUCCCAAGCAGCACGUUUACUUGGGCUCCACCGGGAACGGGAGCACCUCCAGAUAGAGAAGUCCCAUGAAGAGCAACCGACUAAUUAUCACUUUAUUAUUUGCACUGGGUGUGUAUUUUAUGUUUGCGGACAGGGGUGAGUUAAAAACAUUUUUAGGUCACGCCAACUGUCAUGACGACUAAAACUCACACAGGGUCUCGCCUGCAGAGCCCAGAUGCUCGUCACCUGACUGGGAGGAGUUUGCGGGGUUCUGCUACAAACAUUUUGACGAUGAAUUGAACUGGGCUGAUGCUCAACGGGUCUGCCGUGGUAUUGGUGCCAAACUGGUGUCCAUCCGCACCGAGGUGGAGCAGGCAAACCAGCGACAUGUGGACCGAACUGAACAACCUGGUGCUUCCCGGCACGUUCGUGUGGUCGGACCGCCACAAGGUGACCUUCACCCACUGGGCCAGCGUAAACACUCUGUGGCUGUGUUACGGCAGACUGGAAGAAGAUGGAAGCCAAUGUCUUGCGCCCAAGUCAACAGCUUCAUGUGCAAAAUGCCCCACAGAGCAUUUUCCAAUUGCCUCAUCGAAGCCACAGGUGGCGUCAUAGAGUCAACCUCGCUGUGUUGGUUCCAAACAUCCCAAGACCAAUCGAAGUCCAUGGAGAAAAUUAACAAUGCAAGCAAGACAUCAAAGAUGAAAAUUUAAUGCCCUUCCUACUCUGCUCAAAAUAAAUAGUAUCACCAUUUUAACAAAAAAAACCACAAAAACAAAAGAAAUAUCACUGACUAAGGACAACAUACCUGUACAGCUGCUGCGAGAAGGCCUGGAGAGCAAACUUAUCAUAAGUGUUUUGGGCAUUUAGCUUAGCUGUUAUUAGCCAACUAGAUGUCAUGUCCAGAUGCAAUGUGAACAAGCGUGCGAUGUUCACUAAGACUCGACUCUACUUGGUUUGUCCUUUUCUCUUGACAACUUUGAAUGCCUUUUUGUAAGGUUACUGACUCAAAGAGCAAAACACAUUGUACAGAAAUUCCAGUGCUUUCAAAGAGCCCAAUUGUAAGAACGUGAGACAAGAAUAGUUUUGAAGCUGGAAUGAAAGGUUCAAAGUCAAUUAUUGCUCUCGUUCAUUGUUUUGUUUUUACUCAUGUCGUGUUGUCUUGUCCUCAUCGGCCUGUAGAAAGCGAGCCCAGACUAGACAGCUUUUUGUUUUAUUCUACAAACCGGAUUCGGUUGAAGUUGGGAAAUUGUGUAAAAUGUAAAUAAAAACAAAACACAAUUUGAAAAUCCAUUUCAACCUAUAUUCAAUUGAAUACACGACAAAGACAACAUAUUUAAUGCUCAAAUUCAUUAACUUUAUUUUUCAAAUAAUAAUUUACUUAGAAUUUCAUGGCUGCAGCACGUGCAGUAGAAGUUAGGAAAGAGCAUGUUUACCACUAUGUUACA